rnacentral:rRNA from 1 species
GAUGAACGCUGGCGGCGUGCCUAAUACAUGCAAGUCGAGCGGUAAGGCCUCUUCGGAGGUACACGAGCGGCGGACGGCUGAGUAACGCGUAGGAACAUACCCCAAAGUGAGGGAUAACUGCUCGAAAGAGUAGCUAAUACCGCAUGUGGUCUUCGGAUUAAAGCUUCGGCGCUUUGGGAAUAGCCUGCGUCUGAUUAGCUAGAUGGUGAGGUAAUGGCUCACCAUGGCGACGAUCAGUAGCUGGUCUGAGAGGAUGAUCAGCCAGACUGGGACUGAGACACGGCCCAGACUCCUACGGGAGGCAGCAGUAGGGAAUUUUCCACAAUGGGCGAAAGCCUGAUGGAGCAACGCCGCGUGCAGGAUGAAUGCCUUCGGGUUGUAAACUGCUUUUAUAUGUGACGAAUAUGACGGUAGCAUAUGAAUAAGGAUCGGCUAACUCCGUGCCAGCAGCCGCCGUAA